rfam:Monosiga brevicollis MX1 MONBRscaffold_28 genomic scaffold, whole genome shotgun sequence.
AAACCGGUGUUUCUAAACACCACAAAUCUUCCGAUCAUCUGAGUG